UGGGUCUUUGCGGGCGAGAUGAGGGUGUCGAUUCAACUGGCCUACAAAGUCCCAGU
ensembl:miRNA